AACGAACGCUGGCAGCAGGCCUAACACAUGCAAGUCGAACGCAAACAUCGAGGUGAGAGGUAGACGCGUGCGUCAGGCGUGGGAACGUGCCCUUCAGUUCGGGGUAACGCAAGGAAACAUGGGCUAAUACUGGAUACGUGCGAGAGCAGAAAGAUUUAUCCCUGAAGGAUCGGCCCGCGUCUGAUUAGCUAGUAGGUGGGGUAAUGGCCCACCAAGGCGACGAUCAGUAGCGGGUCUGAGAGGAUGAUCAGCCACAUUGGGACUGAGACACGGCCCAAACUCCUACGGGAGGCAGCAGUGGUGAAGUUUGGACAAUGGGCGCAAGCCUGAUCCAGCCAUGCCGCGUGAGUGAUGAAGGCCGUAGGGUUGUAAAGCUCUUUCGUCCGGGACGAUAAUGACGGUACCGGAAGAAGAAGCCCCGGCUAACUUCGUGCCAGCAGCCGCCGUAA
rnacentral:rRNA from 1 species